UGGGGAAUAUUGGACAAUGGGCGGAAGCCUGAUCCAGCAACGCCGCGUGAGGGAUGACGGCCUUCGGGUUGUAAACCUCUUUCAGUACCGACGAAGCGAAAGUGACGGUAGGUACAGAAGAAGGACCGGCCAACUACGUGCCAGCAGCCGCGGUAAUACGUAGGGUCCGAGCGUUGUCCGGAAUUAUUGGGCGUAAAGGGCUCGUAGGCGGUUUGUCGCGUCGGGAGUGAAAACAGCGGGCUUAACUCGUUGCUUGCUUUCGAUACGGGCAGACUAGAGGUAUGCAGGGGAGAAUGGAAUUCCUGGUGUAGCGGUGAAAUGCGCAGAUAUCAGGAGGAACACCGGUGGCGAAGGCGGUUCUCUGGGCAUUACCUGCACGCUGAGGAGCGAAAAGUGUGGGGAGCGAACAGGAUUAGAUACCCUGGUAGUCCACACCGUAAACGUUGGGCGCUAGGUGUGGGGUCCUUUCCACGGAUUCCGUGCCGUAGCUAACGCAUUUAAGCGCCCCGCCUGGGGAGUACGGCCGCAAGGCUAAAAACUC
rnacentral:rRNA from 1 species